AGUAUGCAGAGAAACAGAUGGACUACAGUCUGUAAUUGUAGACCUAUAAAGUGCACCUAUAUUGUAAGUGGAGCUGAUAAAAUGGACAAUAUUUAUUAUUUCCAAAUGGAUUUUAGUCAAUAUUAAUUACAACCCUGUGAAAGUUACAUUAUAGUUCUGCGGUCAAAUUAUAACCAUUACUGUUGGCCCUAAAUAUGAUGCAUUUGUUUAUUUUUUUAUUAUUGUUUCAAUGAUUUAAAGAUGACCUCGGAGAGAAUAAUAGAACAGAUUGCUUCUAGAGUAAUAAUGACAGCACUGUAUGCUUCAAUAUCACAAAAAGAAAUGUGUGGGAUGGAGCAUCCAGAGCCAUGGGCAGAUCCAAUUUUGCACCUGAGAAGAGGGUAGAUGUUAAAUUUACCGAUGACUAUGGGAACGUCUGAGGGUGCCGUGGACAAUGGAGGACCCACUCGGGAGUUUUUCCGGUUGUGUCUACAUGAAAUCAAGGACAAAAUUGGCAUCUUUGAGGGUCCACCCAAUGCUAAAGUCCUCACAUGCAACUCUAAACGUACUUAUGAUUAGAGUAAUUCAUUAUUGGUUAUUAUACAUUACUUGAAAUUAUUCUUCAGGAAAAGUAAGAAUUGUCCGCUUUUGUUUUGAUAAUACUUGUUUGAGAGGGGAAAUUUAGCAAUUAAUACCAUGAUUAAAAAAUAAUAGUAAGUUCUCACAAAGAUGGGUGACAUUGUAACAUAAGCAUUAUUUUUGGUGUAUACUCUUGACAUGUGAUGUUUAAUUUAAUUUGAUAACAGCAAUGAAAGACAACGGGUACUUCUAUGUUGGCCAAGUCAUGGCAAUGUCAAUUGCCCAUGGGGGCAGAGCACAUGUUUCCUGUCUGAACUCUUCUAUGCGUGUCUUCAAAAAGGGCCAGACAAUGUAAAGGUCAUAAUUGGACAAAUUGCUGAUGAAGAAACAAGGUCACAGGUGCAGUUGAUCUCAGAGGCUGAGACUGAAUCAGAGCUGCAAAAUGCAGUUGCGCAGGAGGCAGUUUGAUCAGUCUUGCUGGUCACAGUGUUCACAUAACACUGGGGAAACAAACAAAAGACUGCUUUGGAUUUGGCUCACUGGUAUAUCCUCCAGCGGACCCGUGCACCUUUUUGUUUGCACAAGUACUAUAAUACCUUGGCCAAAAAAUACAGCCUUGUUUUGUGGUGGUGAAAAUGGUGGAAAUGCAGGAGAUAAAAGAGGAAAGCAAAUACAAAAGCUUACUUUUGAAUUACUACCAUACAAUGUUAUGUAUGGAAAAAAAAUAUGUCAUGGUUCUUCAGAUCCUGCUUCUCCCUCACAUGGAAAAUCUCUAGUUUGCACCCCAGGAUCCAAAUCACAUGAACUUUACAUAAGAAUUUGUUUACCUUUUGCUAGGUUCAGAGAUGGCUUAAUGUCUCUAGGUGUCCUAGAUGCUCUCCAGAACUACCCUCUACAGUUGAAGUGAAGAGUGAAAAGGCUUUAACAGCAACAGAUGUAGAGAAUCAUUCCGGAUCAGUCACUCCAAAAGAGGGAGUAAUGCAUUUCAACAGGAGUGUCGGACCCUGGCUUUCUGGCAAGACUAUCUUCAGGAUGCUGAAUUUGAAAACGAUGUCUCUCUGGUGGACGUUCUUGUUUUCUUCACUGGAUGUGACAGUAUUCCUGCCCUGGGUUUCUUACCAAAGUCAAGCCUUAAGUUCAUCACCCAUUCCUGAUUUCCAGUGGCCAAUACAUGUGAAAAUAUUCUUUGCAUACUAGUUCAUGCAGAAUACACUGCUUUCAAAUCUGACAUGGAUUUUGCCAUACGCAAUUCACCAGGAUUUGGAAGAGCAUGAGAGGUAGGGGUGGGAAUCUUUGGGCACCUCACGAUUCGAUUCAAUUACGAUUCAGAG